rfam:Dipodomys ordii ctg_broad_rename0002554, whole genome shotgun sequence.
AUGCUUCAGCAGGACGUUUACCCAAAUUACUACAAUAUAGAGAUUAUCAUGGCACUUACACAAGGAUGAUAUGAAAAUUUGUGAAAUAUUCCAUAUUUUU